GAUGAAGAACGUAGUGAAAUGCGAUAAGUAAUGUGAAUUGCAGAAUUCAGUGAAUCAUCGAAUCUUUGAACGCACAUUGCGCCCGCCAGUAUUCUGGCGGGCAUGCCUGUUCGAGCGUCAUUUCAACCAUCAAGCCCCAGGCUUGUGUUGGGGACCUGCGGCUGCCGCAGGCCCUGAAAACCAGUGGCGGGCUCGCUGUCACACCGGGCGUAGUAGAUUUUAUCUCGCUCAGGGCGUGCUGCGGGUCCCGGCCGUUAAAAGCCUUUUUUACCCAAGGUUGACCUCGGAUCAGGUAGGAAGACCCGCUGAACUUAAGCAUAUCAAUAAGCGGAGGA
rnacentral:misc_RNA from 1 species